rnacentral:rRNA from 1 species
CGACCGGCAAACGGGUGCGGAACACGUACACAACCUUCCUUUAAGUGGGGAAUAGCCCAGAGAAAUUUGGAUUAAUACCCCGUAACACAACGAAGUGGCAUCACUUUGUUGUUAUAGUUUCGGCGCUUAAUGAUGGGUGUGCGUAUGAUUAGAUAGUUGGCGAGGUAACGGCUCACCAAGUCUACGAUCAUUAGCUGAUGUGAGAGCAUGAUCAGCCACACGGGCACUGAGACACGGGCCCGACUCC